rnacentral:rRNA from 1 species
GACGAACGCUGGCGGCGUGCCUAAUACAUGCAAGUUGAGCGAUGAAGAUUGGUGCUUGCACCAAUUUGAAGAGCAGCGAACGGGUGAGUAACGCGUGGGGAAUCUGCCUUUGAGCGGGGGACAACAUUUGGAAACGAAUGCUAAUACCGCAUAACAACUUUAAACAUAAGUUUUAAGUUUGAAAGAUGCAAUUGCAUCACUCAAAGAUGAUCCCGCGUUGUAUUAGCUAGUUGGUGAGGUAAAGGCUCACCAAGGCGAUGAUACAUAGCCGACCUGAGAGGGUGAUCGGCCACAUUGGGACUGAGACACGGCCCAAACUCCUACGGGAGGCAGCAGUAGGGAAUCUUCGGCAAUGGACGAAAGUCUGGCCGAGCAACGCCGCGUGAGUGAAGAAGGUUUUCGGACCGUAAAACUCUGUUGGUAGAGAAGAACGUUGGUGAGAGUGGAAAGCUCAUCAAGUGACGGUAACUACCCAGAAAGGGACGGCUAACUACGUG